rnacentral:rRNA from 1 species
UACAGAGGUGGCAAGCGUUGUCCGGAUUUAUUGGGCGUAAAGGGUGCGUAGGCGGCUUGGUAAGUUGGGUGUGAAAGCCCCGGGCUCAGCCCGGGAAGGGCACUCGAAACUGCCGAGCUGGAGUGCCGGAGGGGAGAGUGGAAUUCCUGGUGUAGCGGUGAAAUGCGUAGAUAUCAGGAGGAAUACCGGUGGCGAAAGCGACUCUCUGGACGGCAACUGACGCUGAGGCACGAAAGCGUGGGGAGCAAACAGG